rnacentral:rRNA from 1 species
CAGCCGCCGCGGGAAUACAGAGGGUGCAAGCGUUAAUCGGAAUUACUGGGCGUAAAGCGCGCGUAGGUGGUUUGUUAAGUUGGAUGUGAAAGCCCCGGGCUCAACCUGGGAACUGCAUCCAAAACUGGCAAGCUAGAGUACGGUAGAGGGUGGUGGAAUUUCCUGUGUAGCGGUGAAAUGCGUAGAUAUAGGAAGGAACACCAGUGGCGAAGGCGACCACCUGGACUGAUACUGACACUGAGGUGCGAAAGCGUGGGGAGCAAACAGGAUUAGAUACCCGAGUAGUCCCUGUCUCUUAUAA